GUUUUGUAGUAUUAAACUGUAAACAGAAAGUAUUUAUAAAAAUAGAUAACUAUGAAAAUAAGAGAGCAUACUAGUCAUGGAAAAAGAGGGAUGCAGACAUAGAAAGUUUGGAAACCACUGUCUUUACCUAAUCCAUCUAUUCAGUAGAUUUUCUGAACAGUUCAACUUUCCAGUCAGAAUCAUCAUUGAGAUGUGGACUAAUGAUGAAAUAAAACUUUUCAAUGGACAUACUUCAAAAUGUAAUGAACUUUCUAUUUUGAAAUUUCUAUCUCGUGAUCCACUUGCCAAACAGAUUUUUCUUAGAGAUUAACAGUAACUUUCCAGUAGCUCAUUUUCUUUUAUCUAAGUUGUGAAUAUCUGCAGUCUUCCAGAAUGCUGCUUUUGGAUAUCUUGAACACUUCCA
rnacentral:lncRNA from 1 species